GGCGAACGGGUGAGUAACGCGUGAGGAACCUGCCUCAAAGAGGGGGGACAACAGUUGGAAACGACUGCUAAUACCGCAUAAGCCCACGGGUCGGCAUCGACCAGAGGGAAAAGGAGCAAUCCGCUUUGAGAUGGUCUCGCGUCCGAUUAGCUAGUUGGUGAGGUAAUGGCCCACCAAGGCGACGAUCGGUAGCCGGACUGAGAGGUUGAACGGCCACAUUGGGACUGAGACACGGCCCAGACUCCUACGGGAGGCAGCAUG
rnacentral:rRNA from 1 species